GGCGUGUUUUCAUGAUCCUAUAGGUAAAAAUGUAAUUAUAAGUAUUGAAUGCUUUUUUUUGUAACUUUAUAGGGUUGUAAAAGCGUUGACCGUGCGCACAUUUUUAGUAUGAAGCGCUUCCGCGCUUCAUACAAAAUGUACUUCGGUCAACGCUUUUACACCCCAAUAAAUUUACAAAAAAAGAGCAUUCAAUUCUUAAAUAUAAUCAA
rnacentral:lncRNA from 1 species